GUCUGAGUAUUUAAAAAUUGAGUAUUUUGAUAGCGUGGCCUUUCACGCUAUAUAAUAACGCCUGUUAAAUCAUCAGUGCGAGCACAAAGACUCCAAAAUCACAACAGAUAACAGAAUAUAAGGUAAAUUAAAAACAGCAAAGCUUUACCUACCUUCUAAGGUCUUCUAAAAGCGCUCGAUUAUGUAAAAUAUUCGGGAAAGAAUCGACGAAAAUGUGCAUGAAGUAUGGUUUCACAAUUGACAUCACAUCACAUGAUCAGUUGCUCACAUGAUUCAAAAUUUAAUUCGCAAUUUAUAAUUUAUAAUUCAAAAUUUAUAAUUUGCAGAGAUAAUUAUGCUUAUAAAUGUUCGUAAAUAUUCGUCGGAAAAGCUCGGUAUUUGUCGCAUUUUACGAAUUUGCCACGUGACCGGU